UCCCUGGUGGUUCAGUGGUUAAGACUCUGCACUGCCAACGCAGUGGGCGUGGGUUUGAUCCCUAGCCAGGGAA
rnacentral:tRNA from 1 species